rnacentral:lncRNA from 1 species
AUGGCGGUGCGCCUAGCCUGUCAGGCAUUUCUCUGUCUCCUACAUGGCCGUUGUGUGUCAGUCCUCAUAGACUAUACCACGACCAUGUUCUACAUCAACAAGCAAGGAGGAGCCAGGUCGUGUCUCCUAUACCAAGAGGCCAUUCGCCUGUGGGAGUUCUGCAUUGCCCACUCGAUACAUAUCAUGGCAUCGUUCCUCCCUGGAGUCCAGAACACUCUAGCGGACCGUCUCAGCAGAUCCUUCCAGACGCACGAGUGGUCAAUUCGCCUGGAUAUCAUCCAUUCCAUCUUCCAGAGGUGGGGAUUUCCCCAGGUCGACCUGUUCGCCUCACGAGCCAACAGGAAGUGCCAUGUGUUCUGCUCCCUCCAAGGGCGAUCUCCGGGCUCCCUGUCGGAUGCUUUCCUCCUGUCGUGGAGAGACCAGCUUUUUCUACGCUUUCUCUCCAUUCCCACUGGUCCACAGGGUGCUGCUCAAGCUAUGCAGAGACAAGGCACAUAUGAUUCUAGUCGCUCCAGCUUGGCCAAGACAGCACUGGCACACCAUGCUUCUGGAGCUAUCGGUACAAACUCCGAUCACGCUUCCCUUGUGCCCAGACUUGAUCUCUCAGGACCACGGCCGACUUUGUCACCCCGACCUGCAAUCACUCCACCUUACAGCGUGGAUGCUCCAUGGCUGAAUCGGAUAGAGCUACGAUGCUCACAUCCAGUGCCACAGAUUCUGCUGGGAAGUAGAAAGCCCUCUACACGGAUCACUUACUUAGCCAAGUGGAAAAGGUUCUCCUGUUGGUGCGAUCAGCGUGCCACGCCCCCCUUGCAGGCGUCUAUUCCUCUUAUACUUGAAUAUCUCCUAUCCCUAAAACAGCAGGGCUUGGCGAUAUCUUCGGUCAGGGUUCACCUGGCAGCUAUCUCGGUGUUCCACCCAGGAGAACACGCUUCCUCGGUCUUCUCUAACCCAAUGGUCAUCAGAUUCCUCCAGGGCUUAGACCGGCUAUACCCACAGCAGUGCCAACCCGUUCCGACAUGGGAUCUUAACCUGGUUCUCUCCAAGCUCCGGGGCCCUCGUUUGAGCCUGCUCACUCCUUUAGCUAUCUUGGAAGACAGCCUUCCUUGUAGCCAUCACUUCAGCAAGGCGUGUUUCUGA